ACUGCCGGUGACAAACCGGAGGAAGGUGGGGAUGACGUCAAGUCCUCAUGGCCCUUAUGGGUAGGGCUUCACACGUCAUACAAUGGUCGGUACAGAGGGUUGCCAAGCCGCGAGGCGGAGCCAAUCCCACAAAGCCGAUCGUAGUCCGGAUUGCUCUCUGCAACUCGAGAGCAUGAAGUCGGAAUCGCUAGUAAUCGCAGGUCAGCAUACUGCGGUGAAUACGUUCCCGGGUCUU
rnacentral:rRNA from 1 species